rnacentral:rRNA from 1 species
UACGAAGGGGGCUAGCGUUGCUCGGAAUUACUGGGCGUAAAGCGCACGUAGGCGGUCUUUUAAGUCGGGGGUGAAAUCCUGGAGCUCAACUCCAGAACUGCCUUCGAUACUGGAAGACUUGAGUCCGGGAGAGGUGAGUGGAACUGCGAGUGUAGAGGUGAAAUUCGUAGAUAUUCGGAAGAACACCAAAGGCGAAGGCAGUGUCCUGGGUGGUCGCUGACGCUGAGAGGCGAAAGCCAGGGGAGCGAACGGG